UACGUAGGAGGCAAGCGUUGUCCGGAAUUACUGGGCGUAAAGCGCGUGUAGGUGGUGGGACAAGUCUGCUGUGAAAGCGCCUGGCUUAACCGGGCGAGGUCGGCGGAAACUGUUCGACUCGAGGACGGUAGAGGGGGGUGGAAUUCCCGGUGUAGUGGUGAAAUGCGUAGAGAUCGGGAGGAACACCUGUGGCGAAGGCGGCCCCUGGCCGGCCCUGACACUGAGGAGCGAAAGCGUGGGGAGCGAACAGG
rnacentral:rRNA from 1 species